CACACAUAUAGGUGGGAGGUCAUAGGCAGAGAGCAGGACGGGACCAGCUGGGAAGUGCAGAACAGAUCAGCCCCAACACCCACACCUCAAUCUGCUCAAAUGGCCUUGAGAUGUGUUUGCAGACAAAAGAGCUGUGAAUUGUGCUACUUGGUGGUGCUGGGAACUGCCUGGGAAAUCAGCGUAGGAAGUCAAGGCAGAGAGCCUUGUGGAUAUGCAGGAUGAUGUCCCUAUGGGUAGACAAAAGCAUUGCUACACUCCACUGAAGCUGGCAAAUUCAGUAAAUGGCUGCUCACCAUGAGUCCGUCAGGACGCUUUUGCAGGUCCCUUCAGUUGAAGAGCUGGUAGCCUGGCAUUUAGUCCCUGGAAUAUUCUCCUUGUGAUCUGUCUCCAUCUCACUUCAGUUCACUUUCUGGCAGCAUGAGGAAGAAAUCUUAGCUUAUUGCUGCCUGAUAUAAGGUAUCCAAAGGUAUUCAGAAUGCCCAAAGUGGAAGAUGUCAAAUUCAGACCCUGGCCAGAUUAGCUCUGAAAGGUUUGGAGAAGUGAGUCGAGCAGCAGCACCUACAACAACAUUACCUAUAAUAGGUUUGCUUUCUGCUCUACCUCUAUCCUCUCUUCAGAACCAUUUUUUCUUGGCAUGGGCUGGAAUAGCAUCUGUUCUGGGAGAAGACAGAAAACCAGGAUGCUCUGAGUGACCAAUGUAUGAGAGUUGAAAUAAAAAAAGCUCAAACUGUACCUUUCCACAGGAAUUUUAGUCAGACAUGAAAUUAAAAUGGUUGAUGGUCAUAUUUUUUUUCUUAACUUUUCUCCUAGAAAUACAGGUCUAAUUCUGUGAAUGCUGAAAGCUAUAUGGCCAGAUGCUCUCUCAUUGAUCAUGUCGUGUGGCUUUUCAGAUGUAUGAUAUAUUAUAUUCCUGGAACAUUCCUGAGCUGUAUUACUUUACAGCUGAAACUUAGUUGUUCCUUCCUACCUCAUGUAAAAAUCCAGUAUGGAUUAAAUAUCUGCCUUGACUUAAACAGACAUGAGAUCUCUGGAGGAUCUGAAUGUUGAACAGCAGAGUUCAGCCUUGAGCUUUUACCAGCUCAGGAAUGAGGGGAAUGAGAGAGGGAAAGCCAUCCUUGGUUUUCUUUAUCUCCCGUUCUAGUUUGAACCAUGUCCACCACUACAUCUUGAAAAGAGCCCUGAGCAUUCAAUCCUUUCAGGUUCAAAGGCUCUGACAGUGGUUACUGGAACGUCUCCCUUGCAUGCUUCACACCCUGCCCGCCGUGGCCUUGUCUGUUGUCCCUUGCAGAAAUCCCAGAAGAUCUCCAGCACAACAUGGAUGAGAAUCUGCUUGCCAGUAGCUUUAGGUCUCCACGGGUGUCUCUUCCAACCCUCAAGGCAGAUAAGGGAUUACAGAUUCCUUUUUAUCUCUGACUGGAGUGGUUGGCCUCCAUGGGUUCCCAUUUCUGUGGCGUUCAUUGGGAGGAGGAAGAAACUCCUCUGCAGUGAGGAGCCCUGCAAAGUGUCAGUGGUAAAUUCUGGUGCAGGAUUUUCCUAUGUGGUUCUGCACAUUCGUUAUGUUCUCCAUUCUACAGACCUCACCAAGGCUCCAUCUCAUUUAUAACAUAUAGCCUCUCCCUUGCAAAUUGCCAGUAUUCAAAUAAUAAGAUUAGCACAGAAAAAAAUAGUAUAUUUAAUACUCCAACUGGGCCAUCUGUCUGCUUUCUGUCCAUUCAUGUGCCUGUUGCCUUCUCGAUUACUGUUUCUCAUCCCCACUAGAAUCCAGCCUUGAAAAUCCCCAAAACAGGAUUUUGGGCCACAAAGCAUCACAAACAUUUAUGUCAGCACAUACUGUAAAACUAAUAAAAUGAAAGCAGCUGCAUCAGUCAGAGGUUUCUGGCAAUUUGUGUAAAUGAACAGGAUAGCAGAGCCUGAUCAUUAUGCAUUCCCAUGUACAGCAUGUACAAGGGCUGCUGGAUCUGGCCCCACAACUGUCAUGUGCAGCCAUUCCUUCACUCCUCCACACAUUCCAGGCAAGAUGACACUGAGCUUAGUAUGGGGAGCAACAGCAGUAGUAACAUUUAUUUUCUGAUUCUUCUACUGAGAGUAACCAGCUUCUCUAAAUGGACUUCUUUAAUAUACGGAGACAACCCGCUUGGUUUUCAUGUUCUCUGCAAAGAGGAGUGAGCAGUUUAUUAAAAGGCUCUUUUGAGUGACUUAU